GCCUACGGGGGGCAGCAGUAGGGAAUUUUCGUCAAUGGGCGCAAGCCUGAACGAGCAAUGCCGCGUGAACGAGGAAGGUCUUCGGAUCGUAAAGUUCUGUUGAAGGGGAAAAAGAGCGGAGAGAGGAAAUGCUUUCUGAUUGAUAUUACCCUUCGAGGAAGUCACGGCUAACUACGUGCCAGCAGCCGCGGUAAUACGUAGGUGGCGAGCGUUAUCCGGAAUGAUUGGGCGUAACGGGUGCGUAGGCGGCCUGCUAAGUCUGGAGUGAAAGGUACCGGCUCAACCGGUACAGGCUCUGGAAACUG
rnacentral:rRNA from 1 species